rnacentral:tRNA from 6 species
GCCGGUCGUUCCUGGGAGACAAGAGGGCCUGUAAAGCCCACGCCAUUCGGCUAGCAGUGUUCGAUUCACUGGACCGGCACCA